UGCUAGCAAGGCUUUCACAGGCUUCGUUGUUGAAGCUGACACCCCAGGAGUCCAGCCAGGCAGAAAGGAAUUGAACAUGGGCCAGAGAUGCUCAGACACCAGGGGCAUCACGUUUGAGGAUGUAAGAAUCCCGAAGGAGAAUGUAUUGAUUGGAGAAGGAGCUGGCUUCAAGAUUGCCAUGGGUGCAUUUGACAAGACCAGACCACCAGUGGCUGCAGGUGCCACAGGACUUGCAC